AUUUCAGUUCAUGGUUUUCGCAGAUCAUCCAAAAUUCUUGAUCUUAUUACUAUCCUAAUCGCUUCUGGGAAUAUAGAAACUAAUUCAAAUCCUAAGAAUACAUUUCCAAUCUACUAAAACCCUAGCAUUCGGCGAGAUCCGAAUUCCGCAUAAUGGAUGCUCGCAAGGUGGAUCCGACGGCGACAAAUCCAGUCCUUCAUCUUCUCCUGUCUCCGUCGUCUCCAAUUUUUGGAAAGAAUUUGAUUUGGAAAAGGAGAAAAGUGUGCUUGAUGAACAAGAACUCAAAAUAGCUGAAAGUCAGGAAAACAGCAAGAAAAACAGAUGGAAGCUUGCUGAGAGUACAAGAGCAACAGGUAUUCUGCUUCUUAUGAACUCAACUGUUGUCUUUUGAGAUUGAGUUUAAUUUAGGGAGCAAUCUUUGCAAGAUCAAUUACGGAAGGCUAUGGAAAGCGUAUCAAAUAUGCAAAAACUGCAUGAACUUGCAUAAAGUCAGUUGUUUGAACUUUGUGCUCAGUCAGAGGAAGAUAGGGAAGCAAAACAGUCUAAGGUCAACCUUUUGAUGGAUGAAGUAGAGCGAACCCAAACGCGGCUUUUCACUCUAGAGAGGGAGAAGGAAGAUCCUCUUGAGGAGUUGAAGAAAGAACUACAAACAAGGCCCACAGAAAAAAUGGUUGAUGAUUUGCGCAAGAAAGUGAAAAUUUUGCAGGCAGUGGGUUAUAAUUCAAUUGAGGAUGAAGAUUGGGAAGCAGCUACCACUGGAGAAGAGAUGAGUAAAAUGGAGUCUCUUCUUCUCGAUAAAAAUA